CCCAAUCUAAAAAAUUUGAGAUAGUUUAUCUCUAAAAAAUUUCUCUCUCUAAAAUAUUUGAGCAAAUUACAUACCAACUCUAUUGGGGGAAGGUGUCUAUUACCAUUAUCUCAUUUACCCAAUAGUACGAACCCGCCCCACCCCCCCCCCCCCCCCCUUCCUUCACACACACACGUAUACUCACACAAAAUUUAAUGUAUUGUAUUCCUUCUUUCGUGCUUAAACAAAGUCAAGAUUUGGAUAACCCAAGUUUUUUUUUUAUUUUGUAUAUCCAUUUUUCAAAAAACAUAAUUAUGUAUCCAAAAAAGCUACAAAACAUGUUUUUAUGCGAGACAUCCAAUAUUCAAUCAUUCAUCAAUAUAUUCCAGAAGGAAAGAAAAAAUACUGUCAUGAGGAACUUAAUAUCUUAAAAUAUAAUAAAAAUAGAGAAAAUUUUACUCAACAAGAAAUCUUCUUUCUCCAAACCAAGAAGCACCAUUGCAAACAAGAAGCAUAAGUUAGUCAAAG
rnacentral:lncRNA from 1 species